GCAUUGGUGGUAUAAUGGUGAGCAUAACUGCCUUCCAAGCAGUUGACUUGGGUUCAAUUCCCAGCCAACACA
rfam:Ophiophagus hannah scaffold2725.1, whole genome shotgun sequence.